rnacentral:rRNA from 1 species
UAAUACCGGAUAUGACUACUGAUCGCAUGGUUGGUGGUGGAAAGCUCCGGCGGUGCAGGAUGAGCCCGCGGCCUAUCAGCUUGUUGGUGGGGUGAUGGCCUACCAAGGCGACGACGGGUAGCCGGCCUGAGAGGGCGACCGGCCACACUGGGACUGAGACACGGCCCAGACUCCUACGGGAGGCAGCAGUGGGGAAUAUUGCACAAUGGGCGAAAGCCUGAUGCAGCGACGCCGCGUGAGGGAUGACGGCCUUCGGGUUGUAAACCUCUUUCAGCAGGGAAGAAGCGAGAGUGACGGUACCUGCAGAAGAAGCGCCGGCUAACUACGUGCCAGCAGCCGCGGUAAUACGUAGGGCGCGAGCGUUGUCCGGAAUUAUUGGGCGUAAAGAGCUCGUAGGCGGCUUGUCACGUCGGAUGUGAAAGCCCGGGGCUUAACCCCGGGUCUGCAUUCGAUACGGGCAGGCUAGAGUUCGGUAGGGGAGAUCGGAAUUCCU